GGUUGAUCCUGCCAGUAGUCAUAUGCUUGUCUCAAAGAUUAAGCCAUGCAUGUCUAAGUAUAAGCUUUUAUACGGUGAAACUGCGAAUGGCUCAUUAAAACAGUUAUAGUUUAUUUGAUAGUACCUUACUACUUGGAUAACCGUAGUAAUUCUAGAGCUAAUACAUGCGUCAAAGCCCGACUUCUCGGAAGGGCUGUAUUUAUUAGAUUCAAAACCAUCUCGGGGAAACCCGGUUUUGGUGAUUCAUAAUAACUGAUCGAAUCGCAGUGCCUUCGGGCGGCGAUGAAUCAUU
rnacentral:rRNA from 1 species